GUUAGAAAUUGGCCUAGGGUUUGUUCCUUUCUGUUCUAUGCUUUUGGUUUUAAUAUUAAUUCUCUAAAUUGUCCAAAAUGUCGAGUUUUACUGAGGAUUACAAGGUUUUCUUCUUUGCUGAGAAACGAAGUUCAUUCUCAUCCAGUAUCUAUGUAAAACUCAUUCUUUGUGGCUUAUUAUUGGGAAUUUCUAUUUUAUCGCAG
rnacentral:misc_RNA from 1 species